AAAAAGAACGACAAAACUGAUGUACCAGAACGAACGACCGUCAGACUAGGUCAAGACAAAUUGGCUUUGUGCGACACAAAAACUGACGGUGGAGGUUGGAUUAUUUUUCAGAGACGUGUUUUGGGUGACGUGAAUUUUACGAGAGAUUGGGACGCCUAUAAACAUGGAUUUGGUUCAAUGAUUGGAGAUUUCUGGCUUGGGAAUGACUGGAUCUCUAACCUGACUUUGAUGGGGUACAAUGAAUUGAGAAUCGACAUGACUCAAAAAGGUAAAAAGUACUACGCCCAUUACGAUCAUUUCAAGGUAGACAACGAAGCAGCGUCGUAUAAAAUAAACGUGACGACAUUCAGUGGGAACGUUAAAGACAAACUAAGCUGGCACCAUGGUAUGAAGUUUUCUACCAUUGACAGGGACAAU